rnacentral:rRNA from 1 species
AGAAUCAACGCUGGCGGCGUGCCUAACACAUGCAAGUCGAACGAGAAAGUGGAGCAAUCCAUGAGUAAAGUGGCGACCGGGUGAGUAACACGUGACCAAUCUACCCUUGAGUGGGGGAUAACCUCGGGAAACCGGGGCUAAUACCGCAUAAUAUCUUCGGAACGGAAGUACUGAAGAUCAAAGGAGCAAUUCGCUUAAGGAGGAGGUCGCGGCUGAUUAGCUAGUUGGCGGGUAAUGGCCCACCAAGGCAAAGAUCGGUA